ensembl:snRNA U1 U1 spliceosomal RNA
UUUAAUACCUGCCAAGGGAGAUACCAUAAUCAUGAAGCUGGUUUUCCCAAGGCAAGACUCGUCCAUAACAGCGUGGAUGUGCUGACUCCUGUGGUUUCUCCAAAUGUGGGAAACUUGGCGUAAUUGUGGUCGUGGGGGCUGCACUUACACUCUCCCCUG